rnacentral:rRNA from 1 species
UACGUAGGGUGCGAGCGUUAAUCGGAAUUACUGGGCGUAAAGCGUGCGCAGGCGGCUUUGCAAGACAGAUGUGAAAUCCCCGGGCUCAACCUGGGAACUGCAUUUGUGACUGCAAGGCUAGAGUACGGCAGAGGGGGAUGGAAUUCCGCGUGUAGCAGUGAAAGGCGUAGAUAUGCGGAGGAACACCAAUGGCGAAGGCAAUCCCCUGGGCCUGUACUGAC